GAAAAAAGCCCAGCGACAGCAGAAGCGGCGUUUGGAAGCCAGAUUUCAGGAAGGGAAGCUGGGAGGAAGCCAAGGACAGCAGCGCUGCGCCCUGCCCUGGCAUCGCCCCGCCGGACCCCGCGCGGGAGGACAGAGCACGAGGGGCUCCACUCGGCGGCYGCUGAACCCCAACCUGGCCGAAGUCGAGCACGCGCGCGUAAGCGCCUUCCCGGGUUUCCAGCUGCUGAGCACGCAGGGACGUUAGGAGCGGAGCUGAAAAUACGCCCGUAAUACAGGAGAGAAAAGCAGAAACAAGCAGAGGCAUCAUCGGUCAGAGACCCCCGUACCGACAAGA
rnacentral:lncRNA from 1 species